CCUACGGGUGGCAGCAGUGGGGAAUAUUGCACAAUGGGGGAAACCCUGAUGCAGCGACGCCGCGUGAGUGAAGAAGUAUCUCGGUACGUAAAGCUCUAUCAGCAGGGAGGAAAAUGACGGUACCUGACUAAGAUGCCCCGGCUAACUACGUGCCAGCAGCCGCGGUUAUACGUAGGGGGCAAGCGUUAUCCGGAUUGACUGGGUGUAAAGGGAGCGUAGACGGCAGCACAAGUCUGGAGUGAACUCCCGGGGCUUAACCCCGGAACUGCUUUGGAAACUGUGGGGCUGGAGUGCAGGAGGGGUAAGCGGAAUUCCUAGUGUAGCGGUGAAAUGCGUAGAUAUUAGGAGGAACACCGGUGGUGAAGGCGGCUUACUGUACUGUAACUGACGUUGAGGCUCGAAAGCGUGGGGAGCGAACAGGAUUAGAUACCCCAGUAGUC
rnacentral:rRNA from 1 species